rnacentral:rRNA from 1 species
GAUGAACGCUGGCGGCGUGCCUAAUACAUGCAAGUCGAGCGAACAGACGAGGAGCUUGCUCCUCUGACGUUAGCGGCGGACGGGUGAGUAACACGUGGAUAACCUACCUAUAAGACUGGGAUAACUUCGGGAAACCGGAGCUAAUACCGGAUAAUAUAUUGAACCGCAUGGUUCAAUAGUGAAAGACGGUUUUGCUGUCACUUAUAGAUGGAUCCGCGCCGCAUUAGCUAGUUGGUAAGGUAACGGCUUACCAAGGCAACGAUGCGUAGCCGACCUGAGAGAGUGAUCGGCCACACUGGACCUGAGACACGGUCCAGACUCCUACGGGAGGCAGCAGUAGGGAAUCUUCCGCAAUGAGCGAAAGCCUGACGGAGCAACGCCGCGUGAGUGAUGAAGGUCUUCGGAUCGUAAAACUCUGUUAUUAGGGAAGAACAAAUGUGUAAGUAACUAUGCACGUCUUGACGGUACCUAAUCAGAAAGCCACGGCUAACUACGUG